UAGGGAAUAUUGCUUAAUGGGCGAAAGCCUGAAGCAGCAACGCCGCGUGUGCGAUGAAGGCCUUCGGGUUGUAAAGCACUUUUUGAGGGGAUGAGGAAGGACAGUACCCUCAGAAUAAGCCUCGGCUAACUACGUGCCAGCAGCCGCGGUAACACGUAGGAGGCGAGCGUUAUCCGGAUUUACUGGGUGUAAAGCGCGUGCAGGCGGUUUAGAAAGUUGGAUGUGAAAGCUCCUGGCUUAACUGGAGAGGUCGUUCAAUACUUCUAGACUUGAGGAUGGGAGAGGGAGGUGGAAUUCCGGGUGUAGUGGUGAAAUGCGUAGAUAUCCGGAGGAACACCAGUGGCGAAAGCGGCCUCCUGGUCCAUUUCUGACGCUCAGACGCGAAAGCUAGGGUAGCAAACGG
rnacentral:rRNA from 1 species